rnacentral:tRNA from 1 species
CAGGACGUGGGAUAGCUUGGUCCAGCUUUUCAAAAAUACUGGGCCUGCUUUGGAAGCAGGAGAUCGCUGGUUCGAAUCCAGCCGUCCUGAC